GGCCUAUUAGCUCAGUGGUUAGAGCGUCAUUCUUAUAAAAUGUGCGUGCCGGGUUCAAUUCCCGGAUAGGCCA
rnacentral:tRNA from 1 species